rnacentral:rRNA from 1 species
AUUGAACGCUGGCGGCAAGCCUAACACAUGCAAGUCGAGCGGGGUUUUCGGACCUAGCGGCGGACGGGUGAGUAAUGCGUAGGAAGCUACCCGAUAGAGGGGGAUACCAGUUGGAAACGACUGUUAAUACCGCAUAAUGUCUACGGACCAAAGUGUGGGACCUUCGGGCCACAUGCUAUCGGAUGCGCCUACGUGGGAUUAGCUAGUUGGUGGGGUAAUGGCUCACCAAGGCGACGAUCCCUAGCUGGUUUGAGAGGAUGAUCAGCCACACUGGAACUGAGACACGGUCCAGACUCCUACGGGAGGCAGCAGUGGGGAAUAUUGGACAAUGGGCGCAAGCCUGAUCCAGCCAUGCCGCGUGUGUGAAGAAGGCCUUCGGGUUGUAAAGCACUUUCAGUAGGGAGGAAGGGUGUUGUGUUAAUAGCACAGCAUUUUGACGUUACCUACAGAAGAAGCACCGGCUAACUCUGUGCCAGCAGCAGCCGCCGUAA